GCCUCCGUGGCCUAAUGGAUAAGGCAUCGGUUUCCUAAACCGGGGAUUGUGGGUUCGAGUCCCAUCGGAGGAU
rnacentral:tRNA from 1 species